UUCCUCCCGGAAGUUACCUAGACUGUGUGCACACAAAAUGACAGAUUGUCCAACAUAAUAAUAAUAAUAAUAUUAAUAAUAAUAACAAUUUCUGGAGGUUGGUGAGGUCCUGCUGGAGGGUAGUGACAUCGUCCUGGGAUCUGAUGGGCCGGUAUAAAAAACAUUCAUCUGCGAAAAGGCGAAUUCCAAUUGAAACAUAGUCCGUCAGGUCGUUUAUAAACACCAGAAGUAAGAGGGGAUCAAGCACAGUACCCUGCAAAACUCCUGAAGCUUCAUUGGAUAGGUUGCUGCUCUUCUUCAAGAAUGACUUGUUGGGUGCGACCUGUCAGAAAAUCCUGUAUCCAGGACAAGAGACAUUGUUGUUUCCUUCCUCCAAGAUUCUACUAUCCUUGGAGUACAUGGAGAUUUUCAGAAUCUGGAAGACUUUUGAACUACUACUAGGGCAGAAGAUUCAAUAGGAUCUUCACCAUACAAUGAAGUAACUUAAUGCAAUCCCGUUAUUACUCAAUCUGGCCAGUAGCUAUAAAGACCAUGCUUUGACAGAAACUCUGAUACAAAUGUUUCUGACAAUGAUUUGUAAAUCAUCUUGCUGUUGUUCUGUGGAUUUGUCUAUGUGAAAUGUUUGACAUCACUGAAGGAGCAAGUAUCAUCAAUCAUCAUUUUAAUAAUUUGUACUAAUUGGACAAGAGGACACUUUGGACCCAACUUCUCAUGUGACUACAUUGUAACAAGUGAGGACUAUAUGCGAUUCCACAGUUCAUCAAGAAAAAAUUGUACAUAUUUCUACGACAUGGAUUUGACAACUGGCCUCUAGAUUCAACCUUUAGUCAGCCGAGAGAAGUCUUUAUGAGGAUUAUGGUUCACCACAUCAUGGCCACUCAUGGCUUCAUAUGGAAGUAGUUUCCUGACCCCUAAGCCUAAUCCAUCUGUACCUGACUUGGGCUCCCAAGUAGCUGAGCUUGAGACCCCUGGAUUCAUGUAUACACUACUGUUCAGCAAUGAUGUCAAAGCUCUGAUUGAAAGAUUGGUACAGAAUGUUCACCAAGCUCAGAUCACAGUAUCCAACUUAAGUUGCACACCAGUCACCAAUGAUGGAGAGGGCUUCUUGUCUUGGUUUUCACAAAGUACCUUCAGUGACCCAACAUCUAGAGGUCAAAGGUCACAGGGUCAUCUUCAGCUGCAGGAUGAUAUUGGUCCAGUAGACGCCAACAAGUUGUGCAGAUACUUGGAAUAUACAAAGGAUUAUCUCUCCAAAGUGUUUCAGAUGAUGAAUAAACUACGAAAGUUUGAGAUCGCAUACCGAGGUGACCCAGAACUUCAGCCAAUCAGAAGCUUUGAAUGUUCGCAAGCUGUAUGCACUCUCAUCAAACUUCAACACUACGUUUGGUGAUAAAGUCUUUGAGGUGUAUCAUCGAGCAGAUUUCAGUGGAGCUUUAGCUAAGCAGAUCUUCACUGCACGUACAUCAAUCCCAACCCAUAGACAGACGGCCAUUCCAACGCCCCCAUACCGUGCCUCCCCUCAACAACAAACAUGCAAUCCAAGAUUGAGUCUUCGUUUUCUAGCUAAUUACUACACUCUAGCCUAUCUGGUACUGCUCUCGCUGAUUCUUUGGUCAUUUAUUGGCUUUGGACCUACUGGAAUAUUACUCACGCUAGUGUUCUUGACUGUGCUCUACAUCUUUUUCAGCGGGGUGGUGUACACAGUUAGACAACAUUCACACACACAUGAGCAUAUUGAAUAAUAUACAAGCACAUGGUGCAGCCAACAUGGAUUCAGUUCGGUUAUAAACCAUUAUAGACUUGACUCAUUGUUGUACCUAUAAUGACUACCAAGGAGAACCCAGUCAAAUGUCGGAUGGAUAAAGUGUGUAUUUACACCCAUGAAGGACUUGGUAAACUCUAGUUUGGAUUCAGUACUCUACUGGGUACAAUAUAUGUUUCACAAUUGUCAUCAUGGAGGACUUUGACAAAUUGAAUUAGUUGGCAAAACCUUAAAGUACAUUGUAAAUUGAUUUGUGGAAGACUUGGUCAACUUUAAUCAUAAAUUGCAGGGUUGAAACAAUACACCAGUAAAUGUUCACAUCUAAACAGGGUUGAAAUAAUAAGUUGCAAUGUUUUGCACUGCGUUUAAUUUCAACACUUUGCAUGGUAAUUGCAUGGUAAAAAGUUAUACUGGUAAAUAAAUACUCAGCUAAACAUAAAACCACACUAUGUCUCUUGGCAAUGAGGUUUUGAUUAAAAUACACUAGGAAAAGUUGUAUCAAAAAGAGUCAAGAUCUUUGUAUACAAAGUGCUGUCUUGCAACCAUUUCAGUAACAAACAUCAUUUUGUUAUGAGGUGUUCCAGAAAGUGCAACGAUGUACACACAAACCGAGGUAUACACAUGCAAGUCACUCAAUACUGACACGCAAACUAAGAAUGAAAAUUGUUACAACACUUUUAACAAUAAACAAGUUUUGUUCUCAGUGUAUUGAAAGUUUUGAUGUUAAUCAAUCCAUGAAGUCUAGGCUAUCUGAGGAUUAAAGUACAACUUUUUGUUUAACAUGUACAUCCAUGAAGAUCGUAUCUCAAAAGUAUGCCAUCUCAAUGUUGCAACUGUCCAUUACAGUUCAAAAUUAUACAUAAAGAUAUUGGAACACACUUCUAGUGUGAUAAGUCAAUUGAAACACUAUUUCAAACAAGUAUUACCCUGUCUCUCAGUUGUUUAAUGAUUUAUUUCAAACUUUUAUCUGUGGCAUCCAUCAAGUUAGCCGUCAUAUAAACCACAAAGUAUAUGUCAUGUAACAAUGAUAGGGUGUAUUGAAAUGCACAAUGAUGCAAUUAUUUUAGAAUAACAAAAUAAACUUGUAAAUUAUACCAGGUGUUGUAAUUAAUCUUCAAUUACAUUUUAUCUCCUGAAAGUAUGUUUGAAAGGGAAACAUUUCACAAAGUGCCAUCUUGCAACUCUUUUAAGGGAAAAUAAACUUUGUAAUAAAAUAUCUCAGAAACUGUG